rnacentral:rRNA from 1 species
AAUCAACGCUGGCGGCGUGCCUCAGACAUGCAAGUCGAACGAUUAAAGCUCUCUUCGGAGAGUGCAUAGAGUGGCGCACGGGUGAGUAACACGUAAGUAAUCUACCUUCGAGUGGGAAUAACGUCCGGAACGGACGCUAAUACCGCAUAAUGCAGCGGCAUCGUAAGAUGACAGUUGUUAAAGAUUUAUCGCUUGAAGAGGAGCUUGCGGCAGAUUAGCUAGUUGGUAAGGUAAUGGCUUACCAAGGCUACGAUCUGUAACCGGUCUUAGAGGACGGUCGGUCACACUGACACUGAAUAACGGGUCAGACUCCUACGGGAGGCAGCAGUCGGGAAUUUUGGGCAAUGGGCGAAAGCCUGACCCAGCAACGCCGCGUGAAGGAUGAAGUAUUUCGGUAUGUAAACUUCGAAAGAAUAGGAAGAAUAAAUGACGGUACUAUUUAUAAGGUCCGGCUAACUACGUG